UACGAAGGGUGCAAGCGUUACUCGGAAUUACUGGGCGUAAAGCGUGCGUAGGUGGUGAGUUAAGUCUGUCGUGAAAGCCCCCGGGCUCAACCUGGGAAUGGCGAUGGAUACUGGCUCGCUAGAGUGCGGUAGAGGAGAGUGGAAUUCCCGGUGUAGCAGUGAAAUGCGUAGAGAUCGGGAGGAACAUCAGUUGCGAAGGCGGCUCUCUGGACCAGCACUGACACUGAGGCACGAAAGCGUGGGGAGCGAACAGG
rnacentral:rRNA from 1 species